rnacentral:lncRNA from 1 species
CUUUUAAAAACCUUGCGGUGAGGCAUGGUUUCUGACAUCAGAAAAAAAAGUGAAGUAUAGGCCACUGGACGUUAAGCAACCAAGUAUUAAACCUCACCUUUCCGUGAAGUGUUUACAAUUAUUUGUAUUUUUAAAAAAAAAAAAAAAAAAAAAGGAUAAACAUUUCCAAAAACUGAAAAUAUUUGAGAAGACGCUAUUACCUUAGAAGUAAAAAAUUUACCAGACAGAAUAAACACGGCAGAAACAAACAAACGAAAAAAAAACCAAGAGAACAAUUUGAAAUACCAUAUACAUGUUAAAAUCGGUAUAUACAAGCGGAUUAUAAACGGGACAGGGUUGAGCGAACAUGAAUUUCUACUGAUUACACUAAAGGUGGCAAUCAACCGAUUGAAGCACGU